UAGUAAAUUUCUAUUGUAAGUAUGGAUUGUUUAAUAAAAGUAAAGUUAUUUUUAAUAUUUUUUGCAGCUGUUUCUCUGUGAUCGAAAUGAACAACCAAAACUCAGAAUUUCUCUUGUUCUUAUGUUCUUCAUUCAUGCACCAUGAUUUACAGGAAAGUUGAAUGUCAUAGAUUCCCCAUUCUUUUGUCUACAUUCUUCUACUCUUCCUGUAUUCCAGUGGGAUGGAAGACUUGCUAUGAUUAAUGUGACAGGACGGGUUAGAGCAUGGAGGGAGCUGUCACAGGACUCUGGAGGUGAAGGAGAAUAUGCAUUGUCUCUUCAUUUCAUCCAUCUUCAUUUUAACCAGCAGCUAGACGUGCUACAGCCCCCACUCCCCUGGACCUACCAUGGCUGCACCACGGAUUUGUAUACAGCAUGGACAGAGAGGCAAGAGAGGCCCGUUGUUAACAAUCCUGAUGAGAGUUAAUGCAUGCUGAAUAGGGAUUUAUAUUCUAGCUUAAGAGUCAUUAAAAAUGGAUAGUCUGUUGAGGUAUUCUAUCUUGGAUUUGGACUUUGAAGAAAAAUCUUCCGAUAAAAGCCUUGUAAAGGUCUCUGAGUAGCUUCAAAUUUCCUUCAUAUUCACAACACUCUUUGAAAGGGAAGAUUACCCAGUGUCCAUUGUAAUCAGUGACUGACAGUCAUCAGGGUGGGAAUUCUGACUCUCUGAGACUUCUCAGACAUCUGUUUAAUCCAGGUAGGUAAAAAGUGAGACCAUUUUAUGUUGGCAAGUUAAAUCUAUCCCACACAGACAGGCUGAUUAUGGCUGAUGACAGCCCUUGGUUGGCACUUACCACCAAUAAUAUUUUUGUGUGUAGAGGGCCAGUGAAGGUGUGAUGUGUGUCAGGAUCUCUAUGAUAGACUUCUCUCCAAGAUGCAGGUAUCCAGAGAUGCAUUUGGAAGAUAAUAGGUUCAGUUUCAUGAGCUUUACUGUUAGCUCUGUGAUGUGCUGAUACCUAAAAUUCUCAGCAUAGGCAUAGCUGUAGCAGGUGGAAUUGCCCGAGGUUAUAGAUUGCUGGAUGUAAUUAUUCAAGCACAGUUGUGUUGACAGGCAGCUUCAGAAAUAUAGAGAUUCUAAUCAUGGUCUUGCCGAGAUUGGUGGGGAUUGCUCCUUGAAUAAAUAAAAUACAAAAUUCGUACUGAUACA
rnacentral:lncRNA from 1 species